rnacentral:rRNA from 1 species
GCUGGGAAACCACCGCCCCCGUGGGGGGGGAUUUGGACCGGGUACCCUCCCCCCACAAGAAAGGUUUUCCGGGCUAAAUUUACCGGGCCCAGGCAAGCCGGCCGGUAAUUACGGUAGGGGAGCAAAGCGGUUGUCCCGGAAUUCAUUGGGGCGUAAAGCCGCGCGUAGGUGGCCCAGGUAAGUUCCGCUGUGAAAGUCAAAGGCUCAACCUUGAAAAGCCCGGUGGAUACUGCAUGGCUAGAGUACGGAAGAGGCGAGUGGAAUUCCUGGUGUAGCGGUGGAAUGCGCAGAUAUCAGGAGGAACACCAAUAGCGAAGGCAGCUCGCUGGGACGUUACUGACACUGAGGCGCGAAAGCGUGGGGAGCGAACAGGAUUAGAUACCCUGGUAGUCCACGCCGUAAACGAUGGGUACUAGGUGUGGGAGGUGUCGACUCCUCCCGUGCCGUCGCUAACGCACUAAGUACCCCGCCUGGGGAGUACGGCCGCAAGGCUAAAACUCAAAGGAAUUGACGGGGGCCCGCACAAGCAGCGGAGCAUGUGGUUUAAUUCGACGCAACGCGAAGAACCUUACCUGGGCUUGACAUGUUGGUGACCGCCGUGGAAACACGGUUUUCCUUCGGGACACCAUCACAGGUGGUGCAUGGCUGUCGUCAGCUCGUGUCGUGAGAUGUUGGGUUAAGUCCCGCAACGAGCGCAACCCCCGUUCCAUGUUGCCAGCAUUUAGUUGGGGACUCAUGGGAGACUGCCGGUGACAAACCGGAGGAAGGUGGGGAUGACGUCAAGUCAUCAUGCCCCUUAUGUCCAGGGCUACACACGUGCUACAUUGGCGCAUACAAAGGGCAGCAAUACCGCGAGGUGGAGCAAAUCCCAGAAAGUGCGCCUCGGUUCGGAUUGGAGGCUGAAACUCGCCUCCAUGAAGGUGGAGUUGCUAGUAAUCGCGGAUCAGCAAUGCCGCGGUGAAUACGUUCCCGGGCCUUGUACACACCGCCCGUCACACCACGAAAGCGAGCAACACCCGAAGCCGGUGGCCUAACCGCAAGGAGGGAGCCGUCGAAGGUGGGGCCCGUGAUUGGGGUGAAGUCGUAACAAGGUAGCCGUAGCGGAAGCUGCGGCUG